GUAGACUUUGAGAGGAGCUGGAGGCUCUGCGGAGCUGGUGAGGGCUGCCCAGAGGACGGGAAAGCCCUGCAGGGCUGGGGAACCUCGCUGAGCUUCACAAAGGGCCCAAAAUCGUGAUUUUUUAAAUUAAAAAAAAUGAUUUACGUGCCUCUUGCGCUAUUUUUAUGGUAGUCCUCGACUUACGACCACAACCCCCAAAAAAGCAGCUGUUAAGUGCGAUCUUGAUUGAGUUUUGCCCCAUUUUACAACCUUUCUUGCCGCAGUCGUUAUGUGGGUUGCCCUAGCUGAUAAAGUAGUAAACCUGGUUGUUAAGUGAAACCCCCACCCCUGGACUUGGCUGGUCGGAAGGUCGCAAAAAGGGGAUCGCAUGACCAGAAGGGGACCCUGCCACGGUCGUAAGUGUGAAACAGUUUCCCGGCCUCUGUAUUACGAUCAUUGGGGGAUGCUGCGAUAGUCAUAAGUGCGAAAAAUGGUCGUAAGUCACUUUCCCCCAACCCAUGCCGUUGUAACUUUGAAUGGUCACUAAAUGAACUGUUGUAAGUUGAGGAACUACCUGUCUAGGCUGGGUCAGAGGGCGGUGCUCAAUUGCACUUUGCAGGUGUCUUUUAAUAAUCCUUGAUUUACGACCACUGUUGAGCCUGAGACAUUGGUUAAGUGAGUUUUGCCCCCUUGGACGACUUUUCUUGUCACAGUCGUUAAGUGAAUCACUGCCAUUGUUAACUUAGGCCGGUGGUUGUUAAGUGAGCCCGGCUUCCCUGUUGACUUUCUUGGUCAGAAAUUCGCAAACGAUGAUCGCAUGAACAUUGCAACCGUCGUAAAUGUGAGUCGGUUACCAAAUGUCUGGAUUUUGAGCACAUGACCACGGGGAAGGCGACAAGGGUCGUAAGUGUGAAAAACGGUCGUAAGUCCCUUUUUUCAGUGCUUGUCAGAAGGUUGCAAAAAAGGAGAUCCCAUGACUUUGGGGACACCGCCACGGUCGUAAGUAUGAAACAGUUGCCCGGCCUCUGAAUUUACGAUCAUUGGGGGAUGCUGCAAAAGUCGUGAGUGCGAAAAAUGGCCAUAAGUCACUUUUUCCCCCACGCCAUUGUAACUUUGAAUGGUCACUAAAUGAACGGUUGUAAGUCGAGGACUACCUAUCUAGGCCUGGGUCGGAGAGUGGUGGUGCUCAAUUGCAUUUUGCAGGUGUCUUUUCAUACAGGUAGUCCUCGAUUUACGACCACCAUUGAGCCUAAGAUUUCUGCUACUAAGUGAGACAUUUGUUAAUUGAGUUUUGCUCCAUUUCAUGAUCUUUCUUGCCUCAGUUGUUAAUUGAAUCAUCGCAGUUCAGUUAGUGACGUGGUUGUUAAGUGAAUCUGAUUUCCCCAUUGACUUUCCUUGUCAGAAGGUCACAAAAAGGGAUCACAUGACCCCCCCAGGACAAUGCGAUCGUCAUAAAUGCGAGUCAGCUGCCAAGCAUCUGCAUUCUGAUCACGUGACCACAGGGGGAUGCUACAAAUGGUCGUUAAGUGUGAAAAACGGUCGCAAGUCACUUUUCAGUGCCAUCGUAACUUUGAACGGUCGCUAACCAAACUCUUGUAAGUCAAGGACCGCCUGUAAUUCGAAAAGGUGCCAUCGGAGUCAUCCAAACUCUUCAGCUACGGGGCUGAAUUUAGAAUAAUCUCUUUUAACGCAGAUUUUUCUGCAGGUCGUCGUUUCACGGAAAAAUAGGGGAAGGGAUCACUGAAUAAAAGGAGUUAAUGAAGAUUUAAUCCAGUGUUUCUCAACCAAUAUGGUUUGCCGGUCCAGACAAUUGACACUAAAUGAUUGACAGUCAAGGUUUGAACUCCCAGAAUUCCUGGCUGGCUGGGGAAUUCUGGGAAUUGAAGUCCCCACAUCUUGCCAAGGGUUGUGAAGCUGCUUUAAGAAAUAAAAAUGGGAGUUUUGACUUGUCUGCCUCUUUAACAUCCAGAGGCUGUGAGGGCCUUCCGGAACAACCCAAGAUAUACCUGUACAGGUAGUCCUCGACUUAUAAUUUAUUUAGUAAAAGCACUGAAAAUAUGACUUAACGAGUAUUUUUCACACGACCGUUGCAACAUCCCCAUGAUUACACGAUCAAAAUUCAGACGCUUGAAAGCAAAUUAGAUACCCAGACAACACAAUGUUUAUAAAGUGCUAAGAAUUGCAUU